AGAGUUUGAUCCUGGCUCAGAUUGAACGCUGGCGGAAUGCUUUACACAUGCAAGUCGAACGGCAGCACGGAGAGCUUGCUCUCUGGUGGCGAGUGGCGAACGGGUGAGUAAUAUAUCGGAACGUAUCCAAUAAUGGGGGAUAACGAGUCGAAAGAUUCGCUAAUACCGCAUACGCCCUACGGGGGAAAGCAGGGGAUCGUAAGACCUUGCGUUAAUGGAGCGGCCGAUAUCUGAUUAGCUUGUUGGUGAGGUAAAGGCUCACCUAGGCGACGAUCAGUAGCUGGUUUGAGAGAACGACCAGCCACACUGGAACUGAGACACGGUCCAGACUCCUACGGGAGGCAGCAGUGGGGAAUUUUGGACAAUGGGGGCAACCCUGAUCCAGCCAUUCCGCGUGAGUGAAGAAGGCCUUCGGGUUGUAAAGCUCUUUCGCAAGGGAAGAAAACUUAUGAUCGAAUAAAUCAUGAGGUUGACGGUACCUUGAUAAGAAGCACCGGCUAACUACGUGCCAGCAGCCGCGGUAAUACGUAGGGUGCGAGCGUUAAUCGGAAUUACUGGGCGUAAAGCGUGCGCAGGCGGUUUUGUAAGUCGGAUGUGAAAUCCCCGGGCUCAACCUGGGAACUGCGUUCGAAACUGCAAGGCUAGAGUGUGUCAGAGGGGGGUAGAAUUCCACGUGUAGCAGUGAAAUGCGUAGAGAUGUGGAGGAAUACCAAUGGCGAAGGCAGCCCCCUGGGAUAACACUGACGCUCAUGCACGAAAGCGUGGGGAGCAAACAGGAUUAGAUACCCUGGUAGUCCACGCCCUAAACGAUGUCAACUAGUUGUUGGUAGAGUAAAAUCUAUGAGUAACGUAGCUAACGCGUGAAGUUGACCGCCUGGGGAGUACGGUCGCAAGAUUAAAACUCAAAGGAAUUGACGGAUAGAGUUUGAUCCUGGCUCAGUAAACUCAAAGGAAUUGACGG
rnacentral:rRNA from 1 species